CCUACGGGUGGCAGCAGUGAGGAAUAUUGGUCAAUGGGCGCGAGCCUGAACCAGCCAAGUCGCGUGAGGGAUGACGGCCCUACGGGUUGUAAACCUCUUUUGUCGGGGAGCAACGGGCGCCACGUGUGGCGCCACUGAGAGUACCCGGAGAAAAAGCAUCGGCUAACUCCGUGCCAGCAGCCGCGGUAAUACGAGGGAUGCGAGCGUUAUCCGGAUUUAUGGGGUGAAAGGGGUGCGUAGGCGGAUCGUUAAGUAAGUGGUAAAGUUGAGGGGCUCAACCCCUUCCCGCCAUUGAAACUGGCGCUCUUGAGUGGAAGAGAGGUAUGCGGAAUGCGUGGUGUAGCGGUGAAAUGCAUAGAUAUCACGCAGAACCCCGAUUGCGAAGGCAGCCUGCCAAGCCAUGACUGACGCUGAUGCACGAAAGCGUGGGGAUCAAACAGGAUUAGAUACCCGAGUAGUC
rnacentral:rRNA from 1 species